UCUUAUUAUUCACUUUAAUGGUCCUUGGAGUCUUUGAACUUUGGGUUCAAUGGGUACACCUGCUUUUUUAAAACAAUGGGUUUGUGUUCCUCUCUCUUUCUCUCCCAGGCUGCUGCAGCAGAGGUUGUGUUUGUUCCGACUGAGAAGGUGAAGAGUGGGAGAGUAUUUCCUCUGCGGUACAACUCCACCAGGGAUCACUACUGCAGGGUGUCCAGUGACAAUGAGGACAUCCAGGGAUGGAGGAAAGAGUCUGUGUUCAGGAAGCUGAAGAAUGACUGGCAGAUGGUGUAUCUAGCUCGUACAGAGGGUUCAUCGUCAGGGAACAUCAGUUGGACGUUGGACUGUGCUCCUGUAGGGAUGAAGAUAAAGACAGUCUCAGUCAGGACAUGCAGCCAGACCUUUCCCUCUGGAACUGGCCUCUAGGGUCUGCAGUCUGGACAGAACACAACGUCGUUCUCAGGAGACAGGGAGAUGCAUUCUAUUCCGGGUCUUUUCUUGAUCCUUGGAGCUGGUCAUGGAGAUGGAGCUAGCCGGAGGAGAGGGAGAGUCGUCAUGGCAACACUCCCAGAUGUUCCGGCGGGCUUUGAAUGAGCCGAAGGAAUCCUCAUUUGAAAUCCUCGUCAAGAUGGAGGAGGACUACGCUUAAUGAGUGUGUUCGAUCGCUCUGAGCAAGGCACUACAUUGGUUUGCUAAUCUUAAUAAAGCAAUGAGUAGUUAUUUUGGGAUGCAACAUGAUGUAUAGAUCAGUGAUUCUGCUCAGUGCCUUGCUCAAGAUAAUCACCUUGAAUACACCGAUGCUGUUCAUAGUCAUGUAUAGUGUGUAUAUUCAUAGGCAUCUUGGUGCUUAUGAGAUAAACGGAGGAGUAGUAGUUUGGUGAUAUUGUUUGUGGGUAUGGAUGGAUGGUAAGGUAGUCCAAUAAUCAUUCGGGAUCUGUGUCUUGAAUCAAUAAUCUUGUAUUGAUUACAGAUCUUGUAAUGAUGCUGCUUGGGUAUUUACUGCCAGUAAUGUCUUGAGACCCAGACCCAGCUUCUGUAUGACACAAAAGCCUUUGUUAUCUAGACUGUCUCUGCCAAAAGAGGAGUUACUUACUUGACUUAAUCCUCUUUGAACCUUUGGGAGCACAUGGCGUCCACCAUGGCUUUCCACCUCAAAGGGGACUAUGGAUCAGUAUGGCCUGGCUGUAACACCCUGCCAUAACAAGGUUCUGGCUCCUGACACAGAAUAGAGAUAUAUGACCUGUGAGCCUAAAGUCCAUUUGCUAUGGAGUUAUGUCUGUAUCCACUUAUGGUUAUGGAUAUACUGGUAUUCUACAUGUAUUUGUGGUGAAUGCAUGUCACAUGCACCGAAUACCACAGGUGUAGAACUGACAGUGAAAUGCUUACUUACAAGCCCCAA